AUGUAGCGCAAUAGAUAGCGUGUUGGGCUUUUAAUCUUAAAUUCGUGGGUUCGAAUCCCAUCUGAAAUG